GCAAGUCGAACGGUAACAGGUUUUGGAGCAAUCCAAAAUGCUGACGAGUGGCAAACGGGUGAGUAACGCGUAGAUACUUUUCUUAAGUAAGGGAUAGCUGGCUGAAAGGUCAGGUAAUAUCUUAUGUGGUCGAAAGAUUAAAGCCGCAAGGCGCUUAAGAUGAGGUCUGCGUCCCAUCAGCUUGUUGGUAGGGUAAUGGCCUACCAAGGCAGAGACGGGUAGCUGGACUGAGAGGUUGAUCAGCCACACUGGGACUGCGACACGGCCCAGACACCUACGGGUGGCAGCAGUAAGGAAUUUUCGGCAAUGGGCGCAAGCCUGACCGAGCCAUGCCGCGUGCAGGAUGAAGGUCCUACGGAUUGUAAACUGCUGUGGUAGUCUACUAAGUUCUGAAGAGACUAUUAGAAAGAGGUUGCUAACUCUGUGCCAGCAGCAGCGGUAAUACAGAGACCUCAAGCGUUAUCCGGUAUCACUGGGCGUAAAGCGUUCCGAUAGGUGGUUUAGUGUGUCUGAAGUUAAAAGCUGAAGCUUAACUUUGGUUCGCUUUAGAAACUACUAAACUAGAAGAGUAAGAAGGUGGCUGGAACUCUGCAAGUAGGGGUGAAAUCCGUUGAUAUGCAGGGGAACACCAAAAGCGAAGGCAGGCCGCUGAGUACUUCUUGACACUGCUAGGACGAAAGCGUGGGGAGAGAACGGGAUUAGAUACCCCGGUAUUCCACGCCCUAAACGAUGAGUGCUAGCUUUUGGAAGAUAUCAAUCUCUUUCAGAGGCAAAGCUAACGCGUUAAGCACUCCGCCUGUAGAGUACGAGCGCAAGCUUAAAACAUAAAGGAAUUGACGGGAACCCGCACAAGCGGUGGAUCAUGUGGCUUAAUUCGAUAGUGAGCGAGGAACCUCACCCAGGUUUGACAUACAGCUGCACGUCCUAUGAAAGUAGGAUUUCUUCGAGAGUGCUGUACAGACGAUGCACGGUCGUCGUCAGCUCGUGUCGUGAGAUGUUCGGUUAAGUCCGGUAACGAGCGCAACCCCUAUCCUUAGUUAUUUAAUGUCUAAGGAUACUGCCCAAGUUUAAUUGGGAGGAAGGAGGGGAUGA
rnacentral:rRNA from 1 species